rnacentral:rRNA from 1 species
AGUGGAUGGGGAGCAACCUAGUUGUGCGUGUGUAAAGGUAGUGCCAAGAAAAGCGGUGAUCAUGAUGAAAAUCAAUUCCCGGUACCCGAAACCGACACAGGUGGGCAAGUAGAGAAUACUAAGGGGCGCGAGGUAACUCUCUCCAAGGAACUCGGCAAAAUGACCCCGUAACUUAGGGAGAAGGGGUGCCACCGAGAGGUGGUCGCAGUGAAGAGGCCCAGGCGACUGUUUAGCAAAAACAUAGGUCUCUGCAAACUCGAAAGAGGAGGUAUAGGGGCUGACGCCUGCCCAGUGCCGGAAGGUUAAAGAAGUUGGUCAGUCUUAGGAUAAAGCUAGCGACUGAAGCCCCGGUGAACGGCGGCCAUAACUAUAACGGUCCUAAGGUAGCGAAAUUCCUUGUCGGGUAAGUUCCGACCCGCACGAAAGGCGUAACGAUCUGGGCGCUGUCUCGGAGAGAGGCUCGGCGAAAUAGGAUUGUCUGUGAAGAUACGGACUACCUGCAUUUGGACAGAAAGACCCUAUGAAGCUUUACUAUAGCUUGGAAUUGUGUUCGGGCUUCCUGUGCGCAGGAUAGGUGGGAGGCGAAGAAGGUAUUCUUGUGGGGAUACUGGAGCCAACGGUGAGAUACCACUCUCAGGAGGCUAGAAUUCUAACUUAAUUAAGGACAGUUUCAGGUGGGUAGUUUGACUGGGGCGGUCGCCUCCAAAAAGGUAACGGAGGCGUACAAAGGUUCCCUCAGACUGGUUGGAAAUCAGUCGCAGAGUGCAAAGGCAGAAGGGAGCUUGACUGCGAGAAGUACAGUUCGAGCAGGGUGGAAACACGGUCUUAGUGAUCCGACGGUGCUGUGUGGAAGGGCCGUCGCUCAACGGAUAAAAGUUACUCUAAGGAUAACAGGCUGAUCUCCCCCAAGAGUUCACAUCGACGGGGAGGUUUGGCACCUCGAUGUCGGCUCAUCGCAACCUGGGGCGGAAGUACGUCCCAAGGGUUGGGCUGUUCGCCCAUUAAAGCGGUACGUGAGCUGGGUUCAGAACGUCGUGAGACAGUUCGGUCCAUAUCCGAUGUAGGCGUGAGAAUAUUGAGAGGAGCCUUCCUAGUACGAGAGGACCGGGAAGGACGCACCGCUGGUGUACCUGUUAUGAUGCCAAUUGUAAACGCAGGGUAGCCAAGUGCGGAGAGGAUAACCGCUGAAAGCAUCUAAGUGGGAAGCCCACCUCAAGAUGAGUAUUCUGGUGUAAGGUCACGGGAAGACGACCCGUAAAUAGGCACGAGGUGGAAGUGCAGAGAUGUAUGAAGCCGAAGUGUACUAAUAGACCGUCGGCUUGAUA